rnacentral:SRP_RNA from 1 species
CGUCGGCUUCCUCGCGACGGUUAAUUGUGAAUUCCGCCAGGCCUGGAAGGGAGCAACGGUAGCGAUGAUACUGGGUGCCGAGGAGCGGCUGGCGCGG